rnacentral:rRNA from 1 species
UACGGAGGGUGCAAGCGUUAUCCGGAUUCACUGGGUUAAAGGGUGCGUAGGUGGGCAGUUAAGUCAGUGGUGAAAUCUCCGGGCUCAACCCGGAAACUGCCAUUGAUACUAUCUGUCUUGAAUAUCGUGGAGGUAAGCGGAAUAUGUCAUGUAGCGGUGAAAUGCUUAGAUAUGACAUAGAACACCAAUUGCGAAGGCAGCUUACUACCCGAAUAUUGACACUGAGGCACGAAAGCGUGGGGAUCGAACAGG